CUGGCACAGGCAACUGAAAUGUUAUAUAUGCGUUUGGACACAAUGAAUACUACAUGCGUAGACAGGUUUAUUAAUUGGUUUUCUCAUCAUCUAAGUAACUUCCAGUUCCGUUGGAGCUGGGAAGAUUGGUCAGAUUGUCUUACUCAAGACCCUGAGAGCCCCAAACCAAAGUUUGUAAGAGAAGUUCUAGAAAAAUGUAUGAGGUAAGUUCUUUGUCUUUUGUCCAUAGUUUAGGUCUACUAAUUUCUGUGGGGUUUUUCCCCCCCUCUUCUCUACAUUUGUGUGUGUCCAGAAUA